rnacentral:lncRNA from 1 species
CCUGUCUUUAGAUGCUCAGGUCGUAUGCCACUAACAGCUGUUCUGUAAUCCGUCACCUCUUCUGUAGGCUUGACAUACUUGUCAUAAAUGCACUUUCCAAAGAGGUUCACGAUGGACACACGGGCCACAAUGCUGUCUUCGCCGCUGGGUCCCACUCCCACCAUCUCACAGUCCAUAGCUACAGCUCUUGUAAGACUGAAAAGAAAGACAACUCAGUGACACAUCUCUUUACAGGGACCACAAAGCGAAGCUGCGAGGUCACACAUUGAUACAAACAGAAAAAACUCAGCGGUUUGACUGUCAGCAGACUCAGAUGUCAGCUUAAACUUUGUCUGCAUCUAUUAGAAGGUAAUCUUGAUGCCUCUGCUGCUGUGCUUCCUGCUGGAACACCACUCACCCUCCAGAAGACUUCUCUUUAACCAGCACCUGCUCCACAGACUGUUUGGAUUGGCCUGCUUCAAGUCCCAGUUUCCUUCUAGCAACUUCUGCUGCUUCAGGUCCUAUUGCUGCUUCGAUGUCUUUUGGAUCAACGUCAUCAAACCAGAUGUCAGCCCUGCAAGGAGUCAUUGUUUCAGAGGAAGAAAAGAUUCAUAUCAAGCCUGUCAGAAGCAGAGAUACGGCCCUGCUGAAGGAUCUUGGCUUCUCCAGUCCCCACAUUCUCUUCAGAAGCCCUGGAAUGGG